GGGUUGUGAGGUUAAGCGACUAAGCGUACACGGUGGAUGCCCUGGCAGUCAGAGGCGAUGAAGGGCGUGCUAAUCUGCGAUAAGCGCCGGUAAGGUGAUAUGAACCGUUAUAACCGGCGAUACCCGAAUGGGGAAACCCAGUGUGAUUCGUCACACUAUCAUUAACUGAAUCCAUAGGUUAAUGAGGCGAACCGGGGGAACUGAAACAUCUAAGUACCCCGAGGAAAAGAAAUCAACCGAGAUUCCCCCAGUAGCGGCGAGCGAACGGGGAGGAGCCCAGAGCCUGAAUCAGCAUGUGUGUUAGUGGAAGCGUCUGGAAAGGCGCGCGAUACAGGGUGACAGCCCCGUACACAAAAGCGCAUGUGCUGUGAGCUCGAUGAGUAGGGCGGGACACGUGGUAUCCUGUCUGAAUAUGGGGGGACCAUCCUCCAAGGCUAAAUACUCCUGACUGACCGAUAGUGAACCAGUACCGUGAGGGAAAGGCGAAAAGAACCCCGGCGAGGGGAGUGAAAAAGAACCUGAAACCGUGUACGUACAAGCAGUGGGAGCNNGGGCGUUAAGUUGCAGGGUAUAGACCCGAAACCCGGUGAUCUAGCCAUGGGCAGGUUGAAGGUUGGGUAACACUAACUGGAGGACCGAACCGACUAAUGUUGAAAAAUUAGCGGAUGACCUGUGGCUGGGGGUGAAAGGCCAAUCAAACCGGGAGAUAGCUGGUUCUCCCCGAAAGCUAUUUAGGUAGCGCCUCGUGAAUUCAUCUCCGGGGGUAGAGCACUGUUUCGGCUAGGGGGCCAUCCCGGCUUACCAACCCGAUGCAAACUGCGAAUACCGGAGAAUGUUAUCACGGGAGACACACGGCGGGUGCUAACGUCCGUCGUGAAGAGGGAAACAACCCAGACCGCCAGCUAAGGUCCCAAAGUCAUGGUUAAGUGGGAAACGAUGUGGGAAGGCCCAGACAGCCAGGAUGUUGGCUUAGAAGCAGCCAUCAUUUAAAGAAAGCGUAAUAGCUCACUGGUCGAGUCGGCCUGCGCGGAAGAUGUAACGGGGCUAAACCAUGCACCGAAGCUGCGGCAGCGANNUGCUGGAGGUAUCAGAAGUGCGAAUGCUGACAUAAGUAACGAUAAAGCGGGUGAAAAGCCCGCUCGCCGGAAGACCAAGGGUUCCUGUCCAACGUUAAUCGGGGCAGGGUGAGUCGACCCCUAAGGCGAGGCCGAAAGGCGUAGUCGAUGGGAAACGGGUUAAUAUUCCCGUACUUGGUGUUACUGCGAAGGGGGGACGGAGAAGGCUAUGUUGGCCGGGCGACGGUUGUCCCGGUUUAAGCGUGUAGGUGUGUGUUCCAGGUAAAUCCGGUUCACUUUAACACUGAGGCGUGACGACGAGGCACUACGGUGCUGAAGCAACAAAUGCCCUGCUUCCAGGAAAAGCCUCUAAGCAUCAGGUAACAUCAAAUCGUACCCCAAACCGACACAGGUGGUCAGGUAGAGAAUACCAAGGCGCUUGAGAGAACUCGGGUGAAGGAACUAGGCAAAAUGGUGCCGUAACUUCGGGAGAAGGCACGCUGACACGUAGGUGAAGUGAUUUACUCAUGGAGCUGAAGUCAGUCGAAGAUACCAGCUGGCUGCAACUGUUUAUUAAAAACACAGCACUGUGCAAACACGAAAGUGGACGUAUACGGUGUGACGCCUGCCCGGUGCCGGAAGGUUAAUUGAUGGGGUCAGCGCAAGCGAAGCUCCUGAUCGAAGCCCCGGUAAACGGCGGCCGUAACUAUAACGGUCCUAAGGUAGCGAAAUUCCUUGUCGGGUAAGUUCCGACCUGCACGAAUGGCGUAAUGAUGGCCAGGCUGUCUCCACCCGAGACUCAGUGAAAUUGAACUCGCUGUGAAGAUGCAGUGUACCCGCGGCAAGACGGAAAGACCCCGUGAACCUUUACUAUAGCUUGACACUGAACAUUGAGCCUUGAUGUGUAGGAUAGGUGGGAGGCUUUGAAGUGUGGACGCCAGUCUGCAUGGAGCCGACCUUGAAAUACCACCCUUUAAUGUUUGAUGUUCUAACGUGGACCCGUAAUCCGGGUUGCGGACAGUGUCUGGUGGGUAGUUUGACUGGGGCGGUCUCCUCCUAAAGAGUAACGGAGGAGCACGAAGGUUGGCUAAUCCUGGUCGGACAUCAGGAGGUUAGUGCAAUGGCAUAAGCCAGCUUGACUGCGAGCGUGACGGCGCGAGCAGGUGCGAAAGCAGGUCAUAGUGAUCCGGUGGUUCUGAAUGGAAGGGCCAUCGCUCAACGGAUAAAAGGUACUCCGGGGAUAACAGGCUGAUACCGCCCAAGAGUUCAUAUCGACGGCGGUGUUUGGCACCUCGAUGUCGGCUCAUCACAUCCUGGGGCUGAAGUAGGUCCCAAGGGUAUGGCUGUUCGCCAUUUAAAGUGGUACGCGAGCUGGGUUUAGAACGUCGUGAGACAGUUCGGUCCCUAUCUGCCGUGGGCGCUGGAGAACUGAGGGGGGCUGCUCCUAGUACGAGAGGACCGGAGUGGACGCAUCACUGGUGUUCGGGUUGUCAUGCCAAUGGCACUGCCCGGUAGCUAAAUGCGGAAGAGAUAAGUGCUGAAAGCAUCUAAGCACGAAACUUGCCCCGAGAUGAGUUCUCCCUGAGACUUAGAGUCUCCUGAAGGAACGUUGAAGACGACGACGUUGAUAGGCCGGGUGUGUAAGCGCAGCGAUGCGUUGAGCUAACCGGUACUAAUG
rnacentral:rRNA from 1 species